AAUUGUUCAUCACGAUUUGAUCUGGAUCGAUCACGUUUAAAGAAGGAAUAAAUCUCGACUGUUGAUUGCGUUUAAUCGCGACCGUCUAAUCGCGCCUGAGGAGGGAACAAAUAUGGACUGUCCAUGCAUAUGGGAAUGCAUUCGGGCAAUCUGAUCGCAGGCAUGUGGAUUACCAGCAUGGCCUCCCGCGUGGCACCGAAUCAGCGUGCCUUGCCACAUGGCGUGCUCCGGUUCGUUGAAGCUGCUGGCUGGGCAGUCCUAC
rnacentral:lncRNA from 1 species